AUCUAAUCUUCCAGUUUGCAUCCAUCUCUGCCUUAGACAAUAUCGGUGCUGACAGCUCUGGCUUUAUGGACAGACCCUACAGUAACAGACCGUCCAGUGUGCCAGGGACAAGCAUAAUUUUUGGAUCACUGGAUAGAAAACUGCAACGGCCUCUCCUAGGGAAGUCACGGACGCUUCCCAGCAUCCCUCAGUCACCUGUCCUAAGCAGGGUUCCUCUCCUGGAUUCAAAAUUGUACAGAGAAGACAUGCCAGAGCAGAAGCAGUACAAGAACCAUGCCCCCUCGGACUGCCAGAAAGGGUGCACUGUGCCCUCUACUGGUGAGGCCUGGCGACUGGAAGAUGACUGUAUGGACUCUGUGGGGGACCCUGCCCUCCGUCCACAGCUUCGCACUGCCGUGGAUGAGGCUCCUUUCAGUUACUUCCGUACACGGUCCUUUUACAUGAGGAAAAGCCUGUCUGUGGACAACCACCUGAGCUCCCUCAGCUACUCCAUCCAUCCCUCAGAGACAAAGGCUGAGCGUGUCAAGACCAAGCUCCGGAGGCAGUUUUCAGGUGCAGAACAGAGACUGGCUGAGAGCUGGAAACAGACUGGAGAGUGGGAUUUUGGAGAUGGUGUCAUCUUUGUGAGAGGAAAAGGCUGCUGUUAUGUUGAAACACUCCCAUGAUAUGCUGGGGCUGAAAUUCAAAACUGACCAUAGUAUCCAAGUUUAUGAAUUGUUGUUUCAA
rnacentral:lncRNA from 1 species